CAUGAAGUCGGAAUCGCUAGUAAUCGUAGAUCAGAAUGCUACGGUGAAUACGUUCCCGGGCCUUGUACACACCGCCCGUCACACCAUGGGAGUGGGUUGCAAAAGAAGUAGGUAGCUUAACCUUCGGGAGGGCGCUUACCACUUUGUGAUUCAUGACUGGGGUGAAGUCGUAACAAGGUAACCGUAGGGGAACCUGCGGUUGGAUCACCUCCUUACCUUAAAGAA
rnacentral:rRNA from 2 species